rnacentral:RNase_P_RNA from 1 species
AAUGGCCGGCAAGCCGCCAUCGGGUUUAUCCUGAGGAAGUUCUGCCCACGGCGCCAAGGUCGGACCUGCCCAAGGCAGGGAGCCGGAAACAGAAACGAUACGCGCAAACGGCUGCCAUCGAAUGACGCAAGGACGAGCCGUCUGCGCGAUGAAACGGUCCGGUUUUAUCCGCGGGCCGUGCAAGCCCCUUGCGGGCGCUAAGUCGAAUGCGGCUGCAAACAAAAGGCAGACUACGACCGGCCAUU